GACGAACGCUGGCGGCGUGCCUAAUACAUGCAAGUCGAACGCUUCUUUUCCCACCGGAGCUUGCUCCACCGGGAAAAGAGGAGUGGCGAACGGGUGAGUAACACGUGGGUAACCUGCCCAUCAGAAGGGGAUAACACUUGGAAACAGGUGCUAAUACCGUAUAACAAUCGAAACCGCAUGGUUUCGUUUUGAAAGGCGCUUUACGGUGCCGCUGAUGGAUGGACCCGCGGUGCAUUAGCUAGUUGGUGAGGUAACGGCUCACCAAGGCCACGAUGCAUAGCCGACCUGAGAGGGUGAUCGGCCACAUUGGGACUGAGACACGGCCCAAACUCCUACGGGAGGCAGCAGUAGGGAAUCUUCGGCAAUGGACGAAAGUCUGACCGAGCAACGCCGCGUGAGUGAAGAAGGUUUUCGGAUCGUAAAACUCUGUUGUUAGAGAAGAACAAGGGUGAGAGUAACUGUUCACCCCUUGACGGUAUCUAACCAGAAAGCCACGGCUAACUACGUGCCAGCAGCCGCGGUAAUACGUAGGUGGCAAGCGUUGUCCGGAUUUAUUGGGCGUAAAGCGAGCGCAGGCGGUUUCUUAAGUCUGAUGUGAAAGCCCCCGGCUCAACCGGGGAGGGUCAUUGGAAACUGGGAGACUUGAGUGCAGAAGAGGAGAGUGGAAUUCCAUGUGUAGCGGUGAAAUGCGUAGAUAUAUGGAGGAACACCAGUGGCGAAGGCGGCUCUCUGGUCUGUAACUGACGCUGAGGCUCGAAAGCGUGGGGAGCAAACAGGAUUAGAUACCCUGGUAGUCCACGCCGUAAACGAUGAGUGCUAAGUGUUGGAGGGUUUCCGCCCUUCAGUGCUGCAGCUAACGCAUUAAGCACUCCGCCUGGGGAGUACGACCGCAAGGUUGAAACUCAAAGGAAUUGACGGGGGCCCGCACAAGCGGUGGAGCAUGUGGUUUAAUUCGAAGCAACGCGAAGAACCUUACCAGGUCUUGACAUCCUUUGACCACUCUAGAGAUAGAGCUUCCCCUUCGGGGGCAAAGUGACAGGUGGUGCAUGGUUGUCGUCAGCUCGUGUCGUGAGAUGUUGGGUUAAGUCCCGCAACGAGCGCAACCCUUAUUGUUAGUUGCCAUCAUUUAGUUGGGCACUCUAGCAAGACUGCCGGUGACAAACCGGAGGAAGGUGGGGAUGACGUCAAAUCAUCAUGCCCCUUAUGACCUGGGCUACACACGUGCUACAAUGGGAAGUACAACGAGUCGCGAAGUCGCGAGGCUAAGCUAAUCUCUUAAAGCUUCUCUCAGUUCGGAUUGUAGGCUGCAACUCGCCUACAUGAAGCCGGAAUCGCUAGUAAUCGCGGAUCAGCACGCCGCGGUGAAUACGUUCCCGGGCCUUGUACACACCGCCCGUCACACCACGAGAGUUUGUAACACCCGAAGUCGGUGAGGUAACCUUUUUGGAGCCAGCCGCCUAAGGUGGGAUAGAUGAUUGGGGUGAAG
rnacentral:rRNA from 1 species